CUUCACGGCCCGGCACGGGCCCCGGCCUGUCCCGGGCUCGGGGUGUCGCUGGAACAGGGCCUCUGCGCUCCUGCUCCGGCCACAGCGUACAGUGCUCUCGGUCAGGUUUUCUGACCUUUCUUGUAAUUGGGCGCGCUCGCGGCGCCGUGCUGUGGGAGCUGGUGAAACAGCGGUAAUGGCUCCGCUGGGCUGCCGUGAGGCAGCGCGUCUGAGGGGUCACGUUAAAGCAGGCAUUGCCCGUUCCGAGGGACUGUCGCGGACUCAGAGAAUCCCAGAACAGUUCGGGUUGGAACAGACCUCAGUGCAAGCCCGCUGCCAAGGCAGGGUCACCCAGAGCAGGUGACACAGGAACGCGUCCAGGAGUAAUGAGACCUCUCCCAAUGACUCAGUGAUACUCUCCUCACCAGGUAUUUCAACAGGACCUGCCCUUACCAAAGAAGAGUUUUGCUGACAGCUUCCCAGCACUGCAGAGAUCCCUGACUUUCUGAGCUAUCUUGCCACUGCAAUUAAUGCCAGCUGAGGAUUAAAUAACUUCAGUGGGCUUCUGUUAACCUGUACUGCUCCAACCUCUACACUGUGUGUGGUGCUCUGUUGGCUCUGCACAGACCUGGAGAGCUACAGUUUUCCAGCUUCCAUACUCCCACUGUUGGUACAGAAAAGCUUCAGGAAUCAAGCUGUCACUUUAGGUUUCCACAGCUGUUUAUAGAAGUGUAGCCAUGAACCCCAGGGAAGCUGAUGUGCACCGACCCUCCUGAGUGGCUCUUCGUGAUCUUGUAGUAUGAAAUAACAUUGAAAAAUCUGCUUUUUUCACCUUGCCUGUGUGUCCAGAGGUGGAGUUUGUCAUCCAAAGUCUGAAACAGAGGUGCACCAGAGUACAGCAGUGCUCAGUGUACUUCCUGCAGCCAGAGGUAUCCACAAGCUCCAGGGAGCAGGGAUAAUACCAGAGCACACCUUGUCCAGGAAGCAGAAAUGCCCCCGUGGGAGCAAGAGGAACAGCCUGCUGCCUCUGGAAAGGUGACUGCUCAGCAGGGGAGCUGGCACAGAAAGGACACGGGUGGAGCCUGCAGGGCAGCCUGUUCCUCCGACAAUGCCUCUGUGUCAGCAUCUUCUCCCUCUCCCGAGGUUCCAAGGGGAAUGGGGGGGAAGGCAUUGCCAAGCUUUAUGUAACCUCCAGGCCUGGAAAGAGGUGCAUGCUGGGGCUCCCUCUCCCCACACAGCACCCCAGCAUGCAGGCACGCCUCCACACCCUUCUCUUUGCACAAGGCAAGAGAGACCUCCCACAAGAUCAUCUCCCACCUCUACUGUGCAUCUGUUCAUUUUCUGCCUGUCAAGCCUUCUCAGAAUUUAAAAGAUCUUACAAGAGAUAGGGGAACAAGCUUUCAAGUUUGAGUGCAUCAGAUCUGGACAGAUCUGAUAUCAAACGUGAAUUUUUAUUGCU